CGGCAGACAGCUGGGAUUUACAAGGAGAAGCGAACACAUCAAAGUACCCCGGUGACGACACCGGCCACGAGAGCGCAGCUUGAGCGCGCUCUGGCAGCUUGAAAGGCGUCCUCGUGGCAGCUCGCCUCCGUUUAAUCUUUGCAAUGAAUUCAUCUCGCCCUCCGACUCGGCCACCGAAAGGCUGCUGCGGUUUUCUAGCCUCUCUUCUCUCCUUUAGACAUGGGAUCACGUCCCUGGAGAGCAGUUUCCAAACGCGGCUGCUCUAACGAAACGCCCAGAAUCUACGUCUGGAAGCUGAAAAAUCACAGCGCUCGCGGUCUCUCCAGGUUGCACGCGUCCUGCCGCAACCCAGAGAGCCCGUUUUCGCCCUCGGGAACCCGCGUACGGCCAGGCUGCAAAUCCCUGGUUUGAUCUCGUUCAGCGUGGAACAUCUGACACGCCUGCGAUGGCGAAGCCUGAACCGCCCUUUUGA
rnacentral:lncRNA from 1 species